GAAAUUUAGAUCCAUAUAAGUACCUAUAACUUUCCGGGUCGGUUCCGGGUAGGUCCGGGCCGGUUCAUAUCUGUAAUUCCAAUACCUGUAAAAUACCAUAAUUUCCGGGUCCAUAUCGGGUCAGGUAUUUAGGAUCUGAAAAAGACAUAACAUACCCAUACUUACUCAAAUUUAGUCAAUAUUUAUCAUAUAUAUCAAAUUUUUUAUAAAAUAACUUAAAUUAAACUAUUAAUAAUUAACAUAAAACAUUUUUAAACUCUAAGUUUUAAAUUUUAAAAUUUUAUAUUACUUAAAAAUGUUACAAAAUAAUAAUAAAUAUUGUUAACAUAAGAUAUUUAAACUAAAUCAUAAAAUAAUAUAAAUAAAACAGAACACAAAAAAAUCAUAGUUAUGGAUAUACAUGUUUUUAAGUCGGGUACGAGGGAGUUUUUAUCGGGUCGGGUCCAUUCGGGUUGGUUCUUUUUGGGUCCAGGUCUAUUCGAGUAAAAAAAAUUUAGACCCAAAAGAUACUUGUAAAUUUUCGGAUCGGGUAUUUCUAGGCCGGUUCCUAUUCGGGUUUUCAGAUCCAGGUUAAAAUGCCCAGGCCUAGAGGAGAUCCAUAAACUACGAAGAAGAAGAUCCGGUGUGAAGACAGAAAAAUAAGAAUUGGAUCAAAGAAACAUCUCGAUAGGGUAAAAUGAUAAGAGAGUAUGAGCAAGAACUCAAGCUUUGUUGUGUUUGGCUUCGUGUGAUUCUUGUUUUUCUUUCUAUCGAUUAUAUAGUUCGCGAAGCCUGGAUUUCCAGGAGUACUAGAGCUUGUUAAGGAGAUUGGUUUGGAUGGUCAAUGUAUGCUUGAUCCAAAUACUAGCCGAGCUUUGAGAAUAUAUCCUCUUGAAAAAUUACAAGAUGCGAAAUAAAUUUGGAGGCGUGUUGUAAGAGGUGUGCACACCCCCUUGAUUUUGUUGCAACAAAUUGGUCUCUUCAUUGAUUGUGGUAAUCCUUGCCUAUGGCUUUGAUUCUCCAGCUCCAAUUGUAUAGAUUCAGAGUUGUGGUUCUUCUUACUCCUUGUCUUGGGUGGACGCUAGGUCAACACAUGCUCUCUUCCUCGUCUACCUAGGUUGUAUCCAUAAGGAUUGCUCGUGGCUCCUCGCCUUUGCUGGAGCAAUAUAAUGAGUUUCUGGCCUCAACCUUAACAAAGUCAGCUUUUGUGCAUUUAUCAUUAUUCUCCUCUUCUUUUUGUUUGCAUUUCCUGUUCAGAGGAUGUUUCGGUGAUUCUUGGUCUAUGAUCUGUUUCUGUUUGAAUUAAGCAAGCAUUGUUGCUUUAUGCUGUUUCUAGAUAUUGAUUAACAAUCA